UGAGGAAUAAUUGCACAAUGGAGGAAACUACUGAUGCAGCAACGCCGCGUGGAGGAUGACGCAUUUCGGUUGUGUAAACUCCUUUUAUGAGUCAAGAAAAUAGACGGUAGCUCAUGAAUAAGCACCGGCUAACUCCGUGCCAGCAGCCGCGGUAAUACGGAGGGUGCAAGCGUUAUUCGGAAUCACUGGGCGUAAAGGACGCGUAGGCGGGAAGCCAAGUCUGAUGUGAAAUCCUAUGGCUUAACCAUAGAACUGCAUUGGAAACUGGUUACCUAGAGUAUGGGAGGGGGAGAUGGAAUUAGUGGUGUAGGGGUAAAAUCCGUAGAUAUCACUAGGAAUACCGAAAGCGAAGGCGAUCUCCUGGAACAAUACUGACGCUAAGGCGUGAAAGCGUGGGGAGCAAACG
rnacentral:rRNA from 1 species